GUCUGAAGGGAGACUUUACAGAACUGUACUUACUCCACUUAAUCUGUGCUUCUCUUGAAAAAAGAAAAGAUAAACAGUGAUCCUCAGGGAAAGCAGAGAAUUGGAGCUGAGAGAGAGGAUUAGUCCCAGAGGAUGCCAUGAUCAGCUGAGUUCUCAGUUUGAAGUUCUGGGCUGCAUUACCUGGUGGACUUGAAAUAAAUCAGCUGGUAACAAGGAAGAGAAGCUGGAACCACAGGAUGAUCAGAUCUGCAUCGCCUGUGUUUAACAUCUGUGAGCUC
rnacentral:lncRNA from 1 species